GAUGAACGCUGGCGGCGUGCUUAACACAUGCAAGUCGAACGGUGAAAGAGAGCUUGCUCUCUGGAUCAGUGGCGAACGGGUGAGUAACACGUGAGCAAUCUGCCCCUGACUCUGGGAUAAGCGCUGGAAACGGCGUCUAAUACCGGAUACGAGCUGCGAAGGCAUCUUCAGCAGCUGGAAAGAACUUCGGUCAGGGAUGAGCUCGCGGCCUAUCAGCUAGUUGGUGAGGUAACGGCUCACCAAGGCGUCGACGGGUAGCCGGCCUGAGAGGGUGACCGGCCACACUGGGACUGAGACACGGCCCAGACUCCUACGGGAGGCAGCAGUGGGGAAUAUUGCACAAUGGGCGAAAGCCUGAUGCAGCAACGCCGCGUGAGGGACGACGGCCUUCGGGUUGUAAACCUCUUUUAGCAGGGAAGAAGCGAAAGUGACGGUACCUGCAGAAAAAGCACCGGCUGACUACGUG
rnacentral:rRNA from 1 species